AGAGUUUGAUCAUGGCUCAGGAUGAACGCUAGCGGCAGGCUUAACACAUGCAAGUCGAGGGGUAUAGUAGCAAUACUAGAGACCGGCGCACGGGUGCGUAACGCGUAUGCAAUCUACCUUUUGCAGAGGGAUAGCCCAGAGAAAUUUGGAUUAAUACCUCAUAGUAUAUAGAUUUGGCAUCAAGUUUAUAUUAAAGUCACAACGGCAAAAGAUGAGCAUGCGUCCCAUUAGCUAGAUGGUAAGGUAACGGCUUACCAUGGCAACGAUGGGUAGGGGUUCUGAGAGGGAGAUCCCCCACACUGGUACUGAGACACGGACCAGACUCCUACGGGAGGCAGCAGUGAGGAAUAUUGGACAAUGGGCGCAAGCCUGAUCCAGCCAUGCCGCGUGCAGGAAGACGGUCCUAUGGAUUGUAAACUGCUUUUGUACAGGAAGAAACCCUCUUACGUGUAAGAGAUGACGGUACUUAAGAAUA
rnacentral:rRNA from 1 species